rnacentral:rRNA from 1 species
AACGAACGCUGGCGGCAUGCCUAACACAUGCGAGUCGAACGAGACCUUCGGGUCUAGUGGCGCACGGGUGCGUAACGCGUGGGAAUCUGCCCUUGGUUCGGAAUAACAGUUAGAAAUGACUGCUAAUACCGGAUGAUGACGAAAGUCCAAAGAUUUAUCGCCGAGGGAUGAGCCCGCGUAGGAUUAGCUAGUUGGUGAGGUAAAGGCUCACCAAGGCGACGAUCCUUAGCUGGUCUGAGAGGAUGAUCAGCCACACUGGGACUGAGACACGGCCCAGACUCCUACGGGAGGCAGCAGUGGGGAAUAUUGGACAAUGGGCGAAAGCCUGAUCCAGCAAUGCCGCGUGAGUGAUGAAGGCCUUAGGGUCGUAAAGCUCUUUUACCAGGGAUGAUAAUGACAGUACCUGGAGAAUAAGCUCCGGCUAACUCCGUGCCAGCAGCCGCGGUAAU